ensembl:lncRNA
GUAAAAGGCAGAGAACCCUCUGUGGCCAGGGAGCCGCGGGCAAGGGGCUAAGGGGAGGGGGUCCAGUGCCAGUCGCUUAAAAAUGCCCCUGUGGCAGUGAGGGGUGCCAGAGGCUGGGUCAAGUUAGUCGUGAAGCAGUGAUACCCCCAACCAUUCCCCACACAGGCUGGCCCCCCAUCGCCAGGCGCAAGAAGCCACACCUGGACCAGACUCCAGGCGAGCCCCUCUCCAUGAAGGCAAACACAUACCUGGAAAAUGCCAUGAGACACUGACUCAGGUUAUCACUCUGAAAAUGAUGCCAUAUUGCAGGCACAACAGCACAUACCUGUAACCACAGCUACUCCGAAGGCUGAGGCGGGAGGAUUGCAAGUCCAAGGCCAGUCUUGGUGACAUAGUGAAAUACUGUCUCAAAACAAAAUUUUAAAAAAGGGCCUGGGAUGUAGCUCAGUGGUAGAGUGCUUGCCUAGCUUGUGCAAGGCCCUGGGUUCUAUUCUCAGAACCAAGAAAAAAUUAAUUAAAAAUAAAAAUAAUCCAUAAAUAAUCUGGGCUCCAAGGGGAGCCAUGAACAUGCAUUUUGGGCUGCCUGGAACCAGUCCCGAUCUGACACUUAGUAGCUAUGUGGCCAAGGGAGUGCUGUCAGCUCUGAGAGCCUCAGUGUCCUCAUCUGUAAGACGAGGGCAGGCAGAGUGGUGCCUAACUCUUAAGUGACUGUGAGUCAGGUGAAGAAACCAUGGCAAAGGGCGGAGCAUCCAGAGUCCCAGCGCUUCGCCAGUGGUGGCCGUGGCUAGGGUGGGCCCAAGGAGCUGGGUACAGAGGAAGACAGCUUGGGGACACUCUUUGGCAGCCUUUGCCCUCCCUGGGAGCCCAGGGUGACAGGAACUGCAGGAACGCUUGUCUCUAGGUCCCUCCCAGGACACCUCCCAGGGCUGAGCUCCUGGGACAUGGCCUAGGGGGUCUAGGGCAGCCUCGCCUGCCAGCCCUCUUCUUUCCCUGGCUUCCCCCCGCCCCCUGGUUUCGACCUCAAACUGCAUUCCCAGGGUUUGCUCCAAAGCCAGAGCACCCUUCCCUGGGGAGGAAGUGGGGAGCGUGUGAGGCUGCUGAACUCGGUGUGGGUGAUGGGCAGAGGACGCUCUGGGAACAGAGACCCAGGGCAGCUGUGCACAGAGGGGACAUGAGGAGGGGCCCAGACAGCAGCUCCACAGCCAGCUUCCACAUCUUGUCCCGACCGAGGGCUGCAGGCCUUCAUCUCUGCCUCCUUGCUGCUCUUCCUGCCUCUACCCUACAUGCGCUAAUAAACGGGCACUGCAGCCGUUUGUUCUGGCUUAUUUAUCACAAGCUUCAGAUUGCUGGCCCUUGACGUCCACCUCAUCUGGCCUUCACAAACAAGGCCCAGAGAAGUGAAGACCCUGAUCCUACAUCACACAGCCAGUUAAUUCUAGAGGUGUGAGCAGGGCAUGUCUUCUUCAUUCUUUCCAAAUCUGUGAUGGAAACUGGCCCUGGAGGCCAAGGCGAGCAGAGGCUGGAGAGCUCACACAUAUGUGUAGGAGUCGAGGCCAGGGUGGUGGCCAUGCGACCAGGUGUGAGCCUGGGCCUUAGGCUUGCUCAGAGCCCUGGCCUCUGUCCUCCCAGACUGCAGGCCAUCUGGCUCACAGAUGUGGCCCAUUCCCAUUCCCUCAUGUUUCUUGGAAACAAGCAAGGACAGAAGAGCCCACUAGGCUUUUGCAGUGACUGUAACAAUGUGAGCAUUGUCUCAGGGUCACCUGGCCAGCCACUGCCCAUGCUCAGGGGCAGCUGGACUGAGCACACAGAGCCUGGGUCCCAGUCUGCUCCGGCACUUCUCAGCAGGUGACCCUACCAGGCAAAGGCAGAUGCACAUCCUCUCUGACUCUGGGCGGGGUGCUCAGGUGACAGCUCCCCAGACCUCUGGGGAUUGGUUUUUGGACCCCAAAUGGCUCCUUUUUUUUUUAUUUUUUGGUACAGGGGAUCAAACUCCUUGAGGUCCUUGAGCUUGCACAGCAGGUGGCGAAACCACUGAGCUAAAUCCCUGGCUAAUGGCUCCUUAUAUACAAGCCCAGGGGGGAUUUCAUGCCAGACUGGUUCUUUAGUCAGGAACUUCUGCUGCUCUCGGAUCUAGAGUUUCUCUGAAGACCUCCUUGAGAGCCAAACUGGUAUAGCAGUGACAGUGGCUGCUCCGGCGUGAGGGUCCCCUUCCACAGGGCCUGGAAAAUCUCAGGGAGUUCUGGGCCAGCAGUGGCUGGGCCCCUCCUCGGUCUCUCCACGCCUGGCAGCCCCAUCUGGGUCCUCAGAGACCAGGGCCCUGGCCAGAGAGCAGCCCCGCAUCCCUCUGCCAGGCAGGAUCUCUGUCCCUUUCAGGGAAGGGCACCGGCUGGUGUUGGAGGAGCGGAAGCCCAGAGCAGGAACCUCCCAGGGAGGGAGUGGGCGGCAGGCAGCAGAACUGUGAGUGUCCCCCAGCUCCUCCACACACGCCUGCUUCAGGCAGCUCCCGGAGUAUCUGGGAACCUGGGGACCCCCCCCCCCAUGCUGACCCUCACCAGGCCUCAGAACAGCGAGGAAAAGGAAGGCCCAGGUUGAACGGUGGUAAUGUGGGCAAUUCUGGGCCUUUGCAGGCUGAGCAAUGAAACCAAAGAAAGGAGAACUGAUCAGGAGCUGAGAGUCUCUGCCUCCCCACAUUCCUGAUGAAAGACCCAUGCAAGCCUGUGUGAUGUGAUGAGUGAGCAGCUUGCAGAAGAUGGAGGGAACGGUAGCAAUCUUCCCUAGAAAGAGUGAAGAGAGCCAGACCCGGAGACAGGAGGCCCUGGGACAAAUCACAGCCUCUCUGAGCCUGCUGGUAACCAAUGGGCUCCUGGGGCUUUGGAGGGGCUCCCAAAGUUGGGCUGUGUCCUAGGUGUGCUGCAAAGCUCAAGAAAGAGCAGCAGUUGUUUUUGCCGCCCAUGCUUCUCACGCUUGCCAAUUAUUAGAGGCGCCUUCACGCUCCUGGUAGAGGGCAGGAUGAGGUGUCAGCCCCAUUAAGAGAGCUGGGGAAACUGAGGCCUGGGAAGUGAAGGAACUCACUCAGUCACUGGGACAGGCAGCAGCAGAGGGGCAUUCUGGCACCAGGUCUCACAUGGCUGGAAAAAAGGAAGAAAGGUUUGGAGGUGAGUGGAGGGUGGGUGGAGGAGCAGACUCCAGCAAGGAGGAUGCUCCGAGGAGGUGGGACAAGCCCCAGGCCUGCUUUACAUAACACGGCCCACCUGUUCACCCCUGCACACCCCACACAUGUGUGCAAACGUGCACAGACCUGGUCCUUACUCACCAGCUAAUGAGCCACAGAGACUGGAUCUAAACAAAUUGGAUUAGAAGGGCUGCAGGCGCCUCCUCCCUCGCCUGUCCGGCUCCGACACUGAGCAGGCCUGCAGAGCCGCCAGCUGCAGAAUCUCGGCCACACUGACAAUCUUCCUGGGCCCCAGGCCCCAGCCCUGAGCCCCAGGAAGGAGACUGGGGCCUGAGAGGAUGCCACAGUGAUGGAUGGAGUGAGGGAGGCUCCGGGCCUCCUCCAGGGCACACAGGAUGUUAGUGCUUGUGUGAGGCCACUACCGAGUGUUCCCAGCCCACCCCACUGCCCCACUCCUCCCCCUUCCUCCAGCCUCUCCUGCAGUCACCACUGCCUGUCUGGGACUUGGGCCCAGACUGGUAUACCCAUCCCUGGCUCCACAGUCUCACGGCUGGGCUGAGCCGGAAGUGGGCAGAUCAGGAGACAUCAGCCUAGGGACAGCACCAAUUGGCACUUCAGAGGAAAGAAACUGGGCAAAAAGGUGAGGCCACCUGGGGGCAGCAUCUCAGUGCUUUCACAUGCAUCUUUGGGCUUAACCCUCAGAAGGUGCCUGGGAGGAGGAGACCGUGCCCAUGGAACCAACGUGACCUCUGGGGUUUCUUCAUCACAACACCCUUUCCUGAGCCCUGAGCCUGUGCCAGGCCAGUUGAUGAGCUGAGGACAGCGAUGAAAGACCCAUUGCCCUUGCUCCUGUGGUUCAUAGGGGGAUUGGAUAUUUCCAUCCAGAGGAGCUGUAGCAAGAACCCAACCCGACCCUGACGUCAGACAGCCCCCAGUACCCAUCCUGCCCCACUCCCUUUCCAGCUGGAUCACUGUGGUCAAAUGACAGCAUCUUCACGCCUAUUUCCCCUUCUCCCAAACAGGGCUGCGAAAGCUCCCGCUUCAUAGGGCCAACAGGAUUGAUCAUCAUUGUCCAUACUCUCAUCGGACAGAGGGAAAAAUGAAAGCCCAGAGAAGAAAGGGGCUCAGACAGGGUCACAGCAGGAGUUGGGAGUUAAGUCAGAAGCAGAGCUUCCAGACAGAAGACAGAGGAUCCUGGGCUGGCUGGCGACAUUUCCUGAAGACUUGGGGCAAGGGAGGGGGAAAUGGCAGUCCCCUGGGGUCAGCCUUCCAGGCUGCCAGAAAGCCCUCCCUGAACCUCCAGGUAAAAGGUCCACCCGGCUCAGCCUCAUCCUUUCAUAGAAGGGGAAACAGAGAAAAGUGAAGAAAUAGUGGUGCCAACUGGCAACAGAACCUGGGACUCCAACCGACCACCUGUCUCAUCUUCUGACUGGGGACCCAGAGCACGAAAGAGCCUCCGUGGGGUAAGUGAGACAGGAGCUCUGUGGACCCCCUGCUCAGGGAGGCCCUCACUGGAAGGAGGCAGGGGUUGGGACAAGUGCCAUCGGCCAUCCAAGCAAGUAUGCAUGACCCAAAGGAAGCGUUCCAGGGGCUGAAGAGCCAGGAACAGUCCGCCCUCCACAUCUCUCCUUCCACCCCACCAACUGUGCACUUCCUCCUCCAAGGAGCCUUCCCAGCUCCCCCAGGGACAGGACCUCUUUGUCUUCCAAGCCUUUGUCAGUCCUUUCAUGAGCUCUCCUUGUCCUACUUGGCUCUGUGUCUAUCCCCAUUCCCUGCUCAGAGCAGUUUCUGGUUUUGGUUUGGUUUGGUUUGGUUGGUUGGCUUGUUGGUUGGUUGGUAUUAUGGAUCAAACCCAGGGCUUCCACACUGAGCUAUAUCUGCAGCUCUUUUUUAUUUUUAUUCUGAGACAGGGUCUUGCUAAUUUGCUAAGUUGCCCAGGCUGGGUUCAAACUUUCUAUCCUCCUCCCCCAAUCUCCCAGAGUGCGAGGAUUACAGGUGUGGGACAGGGCAUUUUGCUUCUACCUCAGCCUGACUACCAGGCUCAGCCCCAUCUCCCUGGGCACAGAAGAGGCACUUGGUUUGCUCAAUGACCAGGUGUAAUGAUAAGACCCUGUCCUAAACCCAAAGGACUGGGGAACUGGUCCGGGAGGAGAGACCCAGUGUGGAGGUUGAUGGAGGGGGUGUGGAAUUGUUUACUCUGAGCUAAGAAACCCAGCACAGCUCCUUGCUCUGUGGCCUCAGAAAACACCCCUGCAGUGGAGCCUUAAGGACGCACAGGGAUUGACACAAGAAACCAUUCGAGAAGUGGCCAUUUUGGUUCUAGUCAUCACCUGUGUGAUUGCUCUGGUACUGAGGAGCAGAACUAGGCAGCUCAGACCGCAGCCAUAGAGGAAUUACAGCUUCUGUCCAGUGUCACUUUCUCCUGGAGAAGCAUGGCCACCUCUGCUGCCCUGUUCCCACGGCAGAGUCAGCUGUCUGCUGUCUGUGCGCCCUUCACCCUCGAGGUGAGGUAGAAACGUCCUGAGCUCGCCUUGGAGGUGAUCACUGUCCUGCCUCACCUGCUAUUGGAUUCAGAUGCGAUGGGAUGGGGCAUUGUUUCCCAAACCCACCCCUUCAGACGCCUCCUUUUUUAUUUGUGCACACAAUCAUAGUAUUUAAAAAUAUAAGAUGAGUCCUCCAAGUACUUAAAUAGAAACAGUUAUGAUAAAAUGAAAACUAUAGCACAGUCCAAAGGUAGAAAUAAAUACAGUGAAAAUGAAACAACGUGGUUAGGCUUUAACCUAACAUGUGGCUUGCAGGAUCCUGAGCAGUAAGAGGGGUCAGGAAGGUGUCAGCCCACGCAGCAUGGAAAGCGAAGUGACACAGAACACCAGAGCCACUCUGUCCUCAAGUGACUCAGUGCUGAGACCACCGGCUCCCACACCUCAGGGGUCAAGCCGAGCACCUCCUCUCCCGGGUGCUGGAGCCAGGGGAGCGGCAUGCACAGGUCGUCCACCUGGCCAAUCGAGUCCAGGGUUAGAACUGCUGCCAAGCCAGGGCCAGUUUGAAAGGUUUCUUUUUCUCUCCUCCCCUCCCUCCCCCUCCCCCUUCUUCUCCUCUUCUUCCUCCUCUUUCUUCUUUUUCUUUUCUUUUUUUUUUUGAAUGGUCCUGGGCAUUGAACCCAGGAUCUUCACACUAAGCUGCACCCUGGCCCUUUUUAAUUGAUUAAUUUUUUUUUUUGGUACCAGGGAAUCGAACUCAGGACCUUGUGCUUGGAAGGCAGGCGGUGGCACCACUGAGCUAAAUCCCCGGCCUGGCCCUUUUUUAUUUUGAGACAGUAUCUUGCCAAGUUGCCCAGGCUAGGCUCCAGUUUGCAGUCCUUUUGCCUCAGCCUCCCAGAGUGCUGAGAUAACAAGUGUGCAAGAGUUUUUGCAAGAGGAAGGGAGUUCUUUGGCUGAGAAUACCUCUGGCAGGCUGUCCCCUCAGCUGCCGGCAGACCUGCCCCAAGCAACAGACUAGAGGUAGACGUCCCACUCCUCCCGGAGACUGCAUUGAGCCUUAGGUCAGAUUCCUGAUGCAGGUAGGCAUGGGAGACAUUUUGUUUUUUUAAUGGAGGUGUUUUCUUUCUUCUUUCCCAGACCUGAGGAAAGGCUGCCCAUGCCCUUCAGACAUCCUUGAAAGUGUAGGUCACUGGCAUUGAGGCCACCACGGUCGCCAUCAGACAGAGCAGGAGGCUCCUCGGGCACCCUGAGAGCCUGGUGGGGCAGGAGUGGGGGAGGGGACGUUCCCACCCAAGCCAGGCCCAGAGAAGGAAGUGACUUGUCUACAUGGUCAUUCAACCUGCCAUACAUGGCGCCCCUGCAGUUACUCACCAUGGACAAAGCCAUCAGCCAGGUCUAGGGACCACAAGAUAUGGAGCUCUGUCCUCAGGGAACCGGAGAUCUCACCAGGUCCAAUCUAGGCCCAUGACUCUCAUUCUAGAGAGCCUGAGGCUGAGGGGUGAUCCACGCUGCCUGCUGUGAUUUAGGAGGUGAGGCCGGUUCACCACGUUCUUUCCCUCACGGUUGGGCCACCAGUCCACGACAAGUGAAGUUGCCUUUCAAGAGUGGUAAAGGGCCAGGGGCCAGGGAUUUAGCUCAGUGGUCCCGCCGCCUGCCUCGCAAGCUCAAGGUCCCAAGUUUGAUCCCUGGUACCAAAAAAAUAAAACCAAAAAGAGUGGUAAAGGGCCAGGUGCAGUGCCACACACCUGUAAUCCCAGCACUCUGGGAGGCUGAGGCAGAUGGCUUACAAGUUCGAGCCCAGCCUAGACAACUAGAGAUUUAGGAAGACUCUGUCUGAAAAGAAAAGAAAAGAAAAGAAAAGAAACAGAGAUGUGGGGGACCUGGGGAUGUAACUUUAAAAAGUACAGGAAUGGAGCAGUCACAGUAUGGGCAAGAUCACGGGAGCAGGGGGACGCGAGGUGGAAAGAAGCCAAAGGCUGUCCUCUCAACUGACACUGCACACAGGAAGAGGAGAGGCCGGGGAGCCAGGGGACUGUGUGAGCCUGGAGCAGCAAAUGGGGCAGCAGUGGCCUAAAAGAGAAGCCUGGGGGCAGAUGGGACAGAUGGGACAGAUGCAGAGGCCCUCCGAGCUGAGGGAGGGUUCAGAGUCAGCCUGGGGCAGAGGGAGCCCUUUGGGGUUAUAAAUCCAAAAAAGGGCCACGUUUGCAUUUGAGGUCUCUUGUUUCCAUUCCUCCCAGUGCGUCUGGAAGGGUGGGUGGGAAGAAGGGAGGAGUGGAGGAAGGGAGACAAGGUAGGGCAAGUGCUCCCUGGACACAAUGUCAAGUCCCAUGGUGCCAUUUGGCUGCUCCAAGCAGAAGGAUGGGGCCAUGGGGUCCACAAGCUAGGUCAGAACAGACAGAUCUCUAGAGACAGAAACUGGUCCACCUCAGGUUGGAGUUAGCUGAGGAGGGAGCGGUUAUGGGUGGGGUGAAGUAUUCUAAAAUUGUGGCAACAGCCGGGAAUUUAGCUCAGUGGUUCUGGUGCCCUGCCUUAAAAGCCCAAGGUCCCAAGUUCAAUCCCCGGUUCCAAAAAUAAAUAAAUAAAUAAAAUUGUGGCAACAGUUGCACAACUUUGUGAAUAUUAAAAACCAAUGAAGGAGCAGGGAGUGUAGCUUGGUGGUUAGAGAACAUGCUUAGUGUGCACUUGUGUGAGGGUCUGGGUUCAAACUCCAACACUGCAAAAAAACAGCAAACCAAAUUAUUUAAUUGUGCACUUUCCAUGGGUAGACUCCAUGGCAAUGAAAGAGAAAAGGCCAGCAGGGCUGGAGGUGCAGCUCAGUGGUUGAGCACUAGCUUAGCAUCACCAGCACUGCGAGGAGGGAGAAAGGAAGAUGGGGUUUGGUUCAGUGGGCUCCAGUGGCCUCCAAGGACAGGAAGCACAGCUGGGGCAGCAACAGAAGCCUCCAGGCAGGGCUGGGAGAGGCAGCCAGGAGGAGUCGCCUCGGCCCAGCCACCUCGCCAGCAGCGCGGCCCUGUCCCCCAGCCUGAGGUGCAGUGCUGCAUCUCUGGUCAGUUGGGAGUCUGAGAUGAAGCACUGUAGCUCGGGAAGGGAGAAGUUGUUCUGCAGCCUUGGCCUGGACAAGGUAAGUGGUGACAGUGGCGGGGGGGGGGGGGGGGGGAAGGAUGGAUGUCCCCAGACUCUGUGCCAUCAGCAGAGUCCUGGAUUCCAGACCCACCAGAGCCGCCCGAUGCCUCUGUGCCCGGGGUCCAUCCGUGACAUGAGGGGCUGCACAGUUCCGUGGUGGCCGUUAGGCCCUGCAUCCUGGACAGCUGCUGUUAAUGACCCAGAGCUGAGUGAAUUGCCCGUGGGCAGAUCGGACGACUCCUAAAGACUCUUAAGCAUGGGCUGGGGAUUUAGCUCAGUGGUUUCAGCGCCUGCCUCGCAAGCGCAAGGUCCCAAGUUCGAUCCCCAGUACCAAAAAAAAAAAAAGACUCUUAAGCUUGGGAGACAAAAGCCCUGGUUCUGAGUCAGGGCCUUCACUCUCUGAGCUCCUCAGCUUGGCUCUUUCAGUUGAGCAAUGGGCAGCGUGAGAGAACCACUGGGCCGAGCACAGUGCUGUUUAACCUCCCAGCACACAGUGAGGGAGGGGGCGGGGGGGCAGUGUGCUGCUGGCCCACUUUAUAGAGGAGAAAACCAAGGCUCAGUUAAGCAGCUCAACCAAGGUCACGUCUCGAUUGUGCUCAGCUGGUUGUACCCUAAUCUGUCUGCCUUCAGGCUACUGCUCUACCCACUGCUGGGAUCAUGGAAUCGGGGAUGGGGAACAGGAGAACAUAAGGAAUCCCACUCUGGUCUUUACACCUAGAGUUACUGUUCACAAAAGCAGACCCAGACACCUCCAUUAAUGGUAUGGGCUCACCCCACAUCCUAUCCUAUCAACUCAGCUGUUCCAUAGGACCUGUACCGUCUGUCCCAUUUACAGGCCAUGGUUCAGGGCUUGUGACUUGCUGGAGGUCAUCAGAGAAAGUUGCCAACUUGGGUGUGAUGGUACACGCCUGUAAUGCCAGCCCUCUACAAGGCAGAGGCAAGAGGAUUAAGAGUUCUAGCCCAGCCUGGGCCACUUAAUGAUUUAGCAAGACCAGGUAUCAAAAUAAAAAAUAAAAACAGGACUAAGACUGUAGCUCACUAUGAAGGCCUUGGGUUCAAUCCUUAGUACAAAAAAAAAAAAAAGAAAAGAAAAAUGUAGAUGUGCCCUAUUCACCCUCUGGCUAGCGACUGGGGUACACUUGAGCCAGGGUAGCUAAGGGGAUUGGGGGUGCAGCUGGGGACUGAGGUCCCAGAUGGUUUCUGAUCAACAAGCUCACCAGGCCGCCUUGGUGAUGGGAAGGUACUUUCCAGGGCACUCAAAUUCCAGUCACUGCUCUUCCCAGAGCAGGAAGCCGCAUCCUGUGAGUGGCGCCCCCGCCGGCCGCUCCCCUGGCUCACAGGGACAGGGCAGGCCUUGGUGCUGAAGGCCACUCUCCCACCUUGUCCUCACGGUCCAGUUUUCCCAGGAAUCCCUUGGAUGCUAAGAUGGGGAUUCCUGGAAAUACUGUUCUUGAGGUCACGGUUUAACAGCUGGACUCAUCUCUCGCCCACCCCAACUCUGCCCCUGAGGGAAGAGGGUCAAGUAGAAGGCCAAGCGCUGGAGGUAAGAGGGCCUGUGAACCAUGUUCUUGACCUUGAAGUUGUUUUUCUUCCCACUGUGUCCAUUUCGUAACAUCCCUGUGAGGCUGGAUGUGGGGAAUGCAGCACUGUCCAUGCUUGGGAAACUUGUCCCAAGCCAGCAGUGGCUGAAGCAGAAUAGAAUCCCCUCUCAGCUCCCCCUACACCACCACCCUCCCUGGAGGCUUUGUUAUAACGGGGCAUGGUAUCAUAUCCACAUGACUGAGAAACUGAUAUAUGCACAUGAAUUUAUUUUACAUGUUUAUUAAAUCAUUAAGCCAGGCAUGGUGGUGUAUGCCUGCAGUCCCAGGUACUCAACCCUGAGGCAGAAAGACCACAAGUUCAAGACCAGUCUGGAUUACAUAGCAAGGCCCUGUCUCAAAAAAAACAGGCAAAAAAAAGUUUAUUACAUCAGCUAGGUAAACUACAAACCAUAAAUCUUUGUUCAAUUUGGAAUAUAGCCACAGAAAAAUGGAAAAUUUGUCAUCAAGGUAGAGUAAACAAGACUCAGGACGCCCCCUUGUGGUACUUGUACCCACUGCAGGAACUGUGGCUGCUCCAUGUACACUCUAAAGUAGCUACAAGACUCAGGACUAAGAUUUACCCUGAGAUCCCUUUGCCUCAGUGGCCUGAGGAUGUCAUUAACAGCAACACCUUCUCUGUUGCUUACCCUCUUUUCCUUCCAAAACCUGGUGUCCUCCUCAAACCCAGCUAAUGUCAAUAGGGUUAAUGAGGUUCAGAGAAGUAAAGUGACCAACCAAGGUCACUCGGACAGCAAAAGGCAGAACUAGGACUGGUUUCAAGUUCAAUGGCCUUUGCCAAUCUCUUAGCCAAAAGAAAAACCUACGAAAAUCAAGAAUAAAGGCUGCCUAUGGGUAAUGCUAACUGACUGAAUGUCGGAGCCCUGAAGUGGUCCAGGUACAUAACUAGAACUUCCCCCAAAUUCUUCCUGGUGCUUUUUAUGGAGUUAGUGGAGGUGGUGACUGCCGUGGCCCCAGGGGCCUCAUUUGGGCUGUGAUCCCCCACAUUCCCAUGGACCAGGUGGCUUCCCAGGCUGUGUUCCUAACUGGCCACACUGAAGACAUUCAUGAGCUGAGACCCCAUGGCCUCUCUGUGCUCUGUGACUAAUAAAGUGCUGGACCUUUGCCUGGUGUCCUGUCUCUUCCUGGGAACGUGCGACAGGGGAGGUAGCGAGCGCAGAGACAGAAUCUCAUGAUGGCCCCAGCUGGGGUAACUCCCAAGUGCCUCCACAUGACGAG